AAGGUUUCCGUAGGUGAACCUGCGGAAGGAUCAUUACCACACCUAAAAAACUUUCCACGUGAACCGUUUCAACCCAAUAGUUGGGGGUCUUAUUUGGCGGCGGCUGCUGGCUUAAUUGUUGGCGGCUGCUGCUGAGUGAGCCCUAUCAAAAAAAAGGCGAACGUUUGGGCUUCGGCCUGAUUUAGUAGUCUUUUUUUCUUUUAAACCCAUUCCUUAAUACUGAAUAUACUGUGGGGACGAAAGUCUCUGCUUUUAACUAGAUAGCAACUUUCAGCAGUGGAUGUCUAGGCUCGCACAUCGAUGAAGAACGCUGCGAACUGCGAUACGUAAUGCGAAUUGCAGGAUUCAGUGAGUCAUCGAAAUUUUGAACGCAUAUUGCACUUCCGGGUUAGUCCUGGAAGUAUGCCUGUAUCAGUGUCCGUACAUUAAACUUGACUUUCUUCCUUCCGUGUAGUCGGUGGAGGAGAUGUCAGAUGUGAAGUGUCUUGCGAUUGGUCUUCGGACCGGCUGCGAGUCCUUUUAAAUGUACUAAACUGAACUUCUCUUUGCUCGAAAAGUGGUGGCGUUGCUGGUUGUGAAGGCUGCUAUUGUGGCAAAUUGGCGACUGGUUUGUCUGCUGCGGCGUUAAUGGAAGAGUGUUCGAUUCGUGGUAUGGUUGGCUUCGGCUGAACAAUGCACUUAUUGGACGUUUUUCCUGCUGUGGCGUGAUGGACUGGUGAACCAUAGCUCGGUGGCUUGGCUUUUGAAUUGGCUUUGCUGUUGCGAAGUAGGGUGGCAGCUUCGGUUGUCGAGGGUCGAUCCAUUUGGGAACUUAAUGUGUACUUCGGUAUGCAUCUCAAUUGGACCUGAUAUCAGGCAAGAU
rnacentral:rRNA from 1 species